rnacentral:rRNA from 1 species
UACAGAGACCUCAAGCGUUAUCCGGAUUUAUUGGGCGUAAAGCGUUUGUAGGCGGUUUUGUAAGUCAUUUGUUAAAUCUUCAGGCUCAACCUGGAGGCUGCAGGUGAUACUGCAAGACUUGAGUGUGGGAGAGGCAAGCGGAAUGCCCGGUGUAGCGGUGAAAUGCGUAGAUAUCGGGAGGAACACCUGUGGCGAAAGCGGCGCACUGGACCACAUCUGACGCUGAGGCGCGAAAGCUAGGGGAGCAAACAGG